rnacentral:lncRNA from 1 species
CUCCAGUUACCCAAGCUCCAUGAAACAAUCAUAAAGGAACAAAAGGACAAAGUAAUUGGGGGAAUAUAACAACAAUGAACACAGUUCCUUCCUGAAGAGACCACAGCAUGGUGCUGAAGAGCGUGAUCUCAGGAAUACAGAACUGGAUUUAAAUCCCUGCCUCAGAUGACUUUGUGAACCACGUAUCCUCUAUGGAAAUCAGUUUCUUCAUCAUUGAAAUGGAGAUAACUGGUAUUAUCCGCAGUGAUUUGCUUGCCUUUCUUACACUGUCUUGAUAUCUGCAUCUUUGAGAAUCCAAACUGACACAGUUGUCACCAGAACUGGACCAAGAAGGCAAGUGGCAAGAUGGGGUUUGGAAAUUGAAUCUCUGACCACCAUCUGGCUAUGUUUUACCUCAGUGCUAUGUUAACUCUGCCAUGCUUGUUGAUAAUAAAAUUCAAAGAGAUAUGGACCAUCUGGACAUACCGCAGGAUAUCAUAUUGAUCCAGUACAUCUGUGAUAUCAUGCUAAUUGGACAAGAUAAGAAGAAACAUCAGAAGCAGUUGAGGAACCAGGAAGUGAGUCCCCUAGGAAUGAGGAAGCAUUCUGCUAGAUAGCUUUUUAAAAUGUUUCCUCUAUACAUGAAAACUAAACACCUUGCUUCCGAAUGACUUUUGGGUAAACAAUGAAAUUAAAGCAUAAAUAAAAAAACUCAUUAAAAGAAAUGAAAAUAGAGAUGUAAUGUACAAAAAACCUCUGGGAUAUGACUAAACAGUGUUAAGAGGAAAGUUUGUGGCACUAAAUGCCUACAUCAAGAAAUUAGAUCUCAAUUAACAACCUAACGUUGCACCUAAAGGAACUAGAAAAACAAGAACAAAUUAAACCCAAAACUAGAAGAAAAGAAAGCACUAAAAUCAGAGCAGAACUAAAUGAAAUCGAGACCAAAAAAUCCGUACAAAGGAUCAACAAAAGGAAAAGUGUUUUUUUGAUAGAUAAGCAAGAUUGAUAGACCACCAGCUAGGAAAAUAAAAGAAGAUCCAAAUAAUCACAAUCAAGAAUGACAAAGGCAGCAUCACAACUAAUCUCACAGAAAUAUGAAAGACCCGCAGAGACUACUAUGAAUGUCUCUACGCAUGUAAACUAGAGAAUCUACAGGAAAUGAAUAAAUUCCUGGAAACACACAACCUCCAAAGAUUGAGGGAGGGAGAAAUUGAAACUCUGAGCAAACCAAUAAUAAGUGACAAAACUGAAUCAGUAAUAAAAACUUAUUAAAAAAAAGCCUUGGACCAAAUAGCUUCACAGCUGAAUUCUACCAGACAUACAAAGAACAACUACUACCAAUCCUAAUGAAACUAUUCUAAGAGAGGAGGGGGGCAUUCCUCUCUAACUCAUUCUUUGAAAGCAGCAUCAUCCUGAUACCAAAAUCUGGCAAGGACACAACAAAAAAGGAAAACUACAGGCCAAUAUUCCUGAUGAACAUAGACACAGAAAUCUUCAACAAAAUACUAGCAAACUGAAUCCAAUAACACAUCAAAAAAAUAAUUCAUCAUGCCAAGGGCACUUUAUUUCUAGGAUGCAAGGAUGGUUUAAUAUAUGCAAAUCAAUAAAUGUGAUUCACCACAUAAACAGAAUUAAAAAUGAAAACGAUAUGAUCAUCUCAGUAGACAUAGAAAAAGCACUGAUAAAAUUCAACAUUGCUUCAUGAUAAAAACCCUCAAAAAAAUAGUCAUCAAAGGAACUUAUCUCAAAAUGGUAAGAGUCGUCUAUGACAAACCCACAGCUAAUAUACUGAAUGGGUAAAAGUUGGAAGCAUUCUCCCUAAGAACUGGAACAAGACAAGAAUACCCACUUUCACCACUCCUAUUCAACAUCAUACUGGAAGUCCUAAUCAGAGCAAUCAGGCAAGAGAAAGCAAUAAAUAUAUAAAUAGGAAAAGAGGAAGUCAAAUUAUCUCUGUUUGCUAAUGAUAUAAUUGUAUACCUACAAAACUCUAAAGACUCCUCCAAAAGACUCCUGUACCUGAUAAAUGACUUCAGUAAAGUUUCAGAAUUCAAAAUCAAUGUACAAAAAUCAAUAGCAUUCCUAUAUACCAAUAAUGUUCAAAGCUCAAGCUGAGAACCAAAUCAAGAACACAAUCCCAUUUACAAUAGCCACACAUACACAAAAGAUAUCUAGGAGUACAUUUAACCAAGGAGGUAAAAUAUCUCUACAAGGAAAACUAGAAAACACCGAUGAAAGAAAUCAUAGAAGACAUAAACAAAAAGAAAAACAUUAUUCUAUUCUCAUGGAAUAGAAUAAUCAAUAUUGUUAAAAUGUCCAUACUGCCCAAAGCAAUCUACAGAUUUAACACAAUUUUUAUCAAACUGCCAAUGUCAUUUUUUACAGAAUCAGAAAAAACAAUUCAAAAUUUGUAUGAAACAAGAGAAGAACCUGAACAUCCAAAGCAAUCCUAAGCAAAAAGAAUAAAGAUGGAGGCACCACAUUACCCAACUUCAAACUAUACUAUAAGGCCACAGUAAACAAAGCAGCAUGGUAUUUGUUAAAAAAAAAAAUAGACACAUAGACCAAUGGAACAAAUUAGAGAACCCAGAAACAAAGCUGUAUAUAUCUACAACCAACUAGUCUUUGACAAAGUCAACAAAAAUAAACUAUGGGGAAAGGACAACCUAUUUAAUAAAUGAUGCUGGAAAAACUAGCUAGCUAUAUGCAGAAGAAUGAAACUGGACUUCUACCUCUCACCAUAUAAAAAAUUAGCUCAAUAUUACAUUUGUAAUGUAAUCUUUAAAUGUAAGUUUUACAUUUAAAGAUGUAAAUGUAAGACUUCAAUCUGUAAAAAAUAUUAGAACAAAACCUAGGAAAUACUCUUCUGGCCUAGGCAAAAAUUUAUAACUAAGACCUCAAAAGCAAAUGCAACAAAAACAAAAAUGUACAACUGGGACCUAAUUAAAGUAAAGGACUUCUGCAGGGCAAAAUAAAUUAUCAAUAGAGUAAAUGGACAACCUACAGAAUGGAAGACAAUAUUUGCAAACUAUGCAUUCCACAAAGGAAUAAUAUUCAGAAUCUAUAAGGAACUUAAAUCAACAAGAAAAAAAAUCAAAUAACUCCAUUAAAAAGUGGGCAAAGGACACUAACAGACAAUUCUCAAAAGAAGACAUACAAAUGGCCAAGAAGCAUAUGAAAAAAUGCUCAACAUCACUAAUCAUCAGAGAAAUGUAAAUUAAAACCACAAUAAGUUAGCAUCUCACACCAGUCAAAAUGGCUCUUAUUAAAAAGUAAAAAAUAACAGAUGUUGUCAAGAAUGGGGAGAAAGGGAAUGCUUAUACACUGUUGGUGGGAAUGUAAUAUAGUUCAGCCCCCAUGAAAAGCAGUUUAGAAAUUCCUCAAAGAACUAAACAAAAAACUACCAUUCCACCCAGCAAUCCUAUUAUUGGGUAUCUACCCAAAGGAAAAGAAAUCAUUUGUACCAAAAAGGCACCUGCACUCACAUGUUUAUCACAGCACGAUUCGCAAAGGCAAGGACAUGGAAUCAACCUAGGUGCCCAUCAAUGGUGGAUUGGAUAAAGCAAAUAUGGUACAUAUACAGCAUGGAAUACUAUGCAACCAUAAAAAAACAGUGAAAUCACGUCCUUUGCAGCAACACGGAUGGAGCUGGGGGCCAUUAUCCUAAGUGAAUUAAUGCAGAAACAAAAAAUCAAAUACCACAUAUUCUCACUUGUAAGUAGGAGCUAAACGAUGGGUACAUACAGACAUAAAGAUGUAAACAAUAGAUUCUGGGGACUCCAAAAGGGAGGAGGAUGACAGGAGGGAAAAACAAUUGAAACGUAACUUAUUUGGUAUUAUGGUCACUCUUUGGGUGAUGGGAUCAAUAGAAGACCAAAUCCCAGCAUUAUAUACUAUAUCCGUUUAACAAUACUGCACAUGUAGUUUCUGAAUCUAAAAUAAAAAGCAU